rnacentral:rRNA from 1 species
GACGAACGCUGGCGGCGUGCUUAACACAUGCAAGUCGAACGGAGAACGAGGGAGCUUGCUCCCUCCGGAUCAGCGGCGAACGGGUGAGUAACACGUGAGCAAUCUGCCCCGAACUCUGGGAUAAGCGCGGGAAACGACGUCUAAUACCGGAUACGACUCGGAACGGCAUCCUCCCCGCGUGGAAAGAACUUCGGCUCGGGCUGAGCGCUCGGCCUAUCCGCUUGUAGGUGAGGUAACGGGUCACCAAGGCGCCGGCUGGUAGCCGGCCUGAGAGGGUGACCGGCCACACUGGGCCUGCGACACGGCCCAGACUCCUACGGGAGGCAGCAGUCGGGAAUAUUGCACAAUGGGCGCAAGCCUGAUGCAGCAACGCCGCGUGAGGGACGACGGCCUUCGGGUUGUGAACCUCUUUUAGCAGGGAAGAAGCGAAAGUGACGGUACCUGCAGAGAAAGCACCGGCUAACUACGUG